UAUUAAAAAUUUUAUCGAUUUCAUUUGUUAAAAAUUUAUGUGACUGGAAGAAUAAUCAGAUAAUUACAUGUGAUGUGUCACAUGUACCUUUUGUUAAUACACAAUGACAAGUUUUUAUUAAUAAAAAUUGAUGAAUUUUUAACA
rnacentral:pre_miRNA from 1 species